CCUACGGGCGGCAGCAGUGAGGAAUAUUGGUCAAUGGACGAGAGUCUGAACCAGCCAAGUAGCGUGAAGGAUGACUGCCCUAUGGGUUGUAAACUUCUUUUAUAUGGGAAUAAAACGUUCCACGUGUGGGAUUUUGUAUGUACCAUAUGAAUAAGGAUCGGCUAACUCCGUGCCAGCAGCCGCGGUAAUACGGAGGAUCCGAGCGUUAUCCGGAUUUAUUGGGUUUAAAGGGAGCGUAGGUGGAUUGUUAAGUCAGUUGUGAAAGUUUGCGGCUCAACCGUAAAAUUGCAGUUGAAACUGGCAGUCUUGAGUACAGUAGAGGUGGGCGGAAUUCGUGGUGUAGCGGUGAAAUGCUUAGAUAUCACGAAGAAAUCCGAUUGCGAAGGCAGUUCACUGGACUGCAACUGACACUGAGGCUCGAAAGUGUGGGUAUCAAACAGGAUUAGAUACCCCUGUAGUC
rnacentral:rRNA from 1 species